rnacentral:rRNA from 1 species
CGGCGGGUGCUAACGUCCGUCGUGAAGAGGGAAACAACCCAGACCGCCAGCUAAGGUCCCAAAGUCAUGGUUAAGUGGGAAACGAUGUGGGAAGGCCCAGACAGCCAGGAUGUUGGCUUAGAAGCAGCCAUCAUUUAAAGAAAGCGUAAUAGCUCACUGGUCGAGUCGGCCUGCGCGGAAGAUGUAACGGGGCUAAACCAUGCACCGAAGCUGCGGCAGCGACACUAUGUGUUGUUGGGUAGGGGAGCGUUCUGUAAGCCUGUGAAGGUGGCCUGUGAGGGUUGCUGGAGGUAUCAGAAGUGCGAAUGCUGACAUAAGUAACGAUAAAGCGGGUGAAAAGCCCGCUCGCCGGAAGACCAAGGGUUCCUGUCCAACGUUAAUCGGGGCAGGGUGAGUCGACCCCUAAGGCGAGGCCGAAAGGCGUAGUCGAUGGGAAACAGGUUAAUAUUCCUGUACUUGGUGUUACUGCGAAGGGGGGACGGAGAAGGCUAUGUUGGCCGGGCGACGGUUGUCCCGGUUUAAGCGUGUAGGCUGGUUUUCCAGGCAAAUCCGGAAAACCAAGGCUGAGGCGUGAUGACGAGGCACUACGGUGCUGAAGCGACAAAUGCCCUGCUUCCAGGAAAAGCCUCUAAGCAUCAGGUAACAUCAAAUCGUACCCCAAACCGACACAGGUGGUCAGGUAGAGAAUACCAAGGCGCUUGAGAGAACUCGGGUGAAGGAACUAGGCAAAAUGGUGCCGUAACUUCGGGAGAAGGCACGCUGAUAUGUAGGUGAAGCGACUUGCUCGUGGAGCUGAAAUCAGUCGAAGAUACCAGCUGGCUGCAACUGUUUAUUAAAAACACAGCACUGUGCAAACACGAAAGUGGACGUAUACGGUGUGACGCCUGCCCGGUGCCGGAAGGUUAAUUGAUGGGGUUAGCGGCAACGCGAAGCUCUUGAUCGAAGCCCCGGUAAACGGCGGCCGUAACUAUAACGGUCCUAAGGUAGCGAAAUUCCUUGUCGGGUAAGUUCCGACCUGCACGAAUGGCGUAAUGAUGGCCAGGCUGUCUCCACCCGAGACUCAGUGAAAUUGAACUCGCUGUGAAGAUGCAGUGUACCCGCGGCAAGACGGAAAGACCCCGUGAACCUUUACUAUAGCUUGACACUGAACAUUGAGCCUUGAUGUGUAGGAUAGGUGGGAGGCUUUGAAGUGUGGACGCCAGUCUGCAUGGAGCCGACCUUGAAAUACCACCCUUUAAUGUUUGAUGUUCUAACGUUG